UCACACAGAAGAGGGGCCAGGGAAUUCAAGGGACAAGUGGGAAAUAAUUGAUGUUAACAGAGGAGACGUGGUUAAAAGGUAUCGGCUGGGCUGUGAGAGAUUCUAACUGCAGUGGGGUCCGUCUGUAAGACACAGGGGCAGCAUCGAAAUGUGGGUCCAAUACCUAAAGGAGCUCAUGGGUGCUGUCGAGUUGCCCUGCUCAGAUGUAGCUUCAGGAAAGCCGCUGCAAGGAGCCCAGGGUGCUGAGAGUUGUCAACCUGCACACCUGCCCAGCACAGCCUGGGGGCCGCCGUGCCAUGUCACCCAAGCGGAGACCCGUCCUCUGGUGGUCUGUGCACAGGAGCCUGGCUGGGCUGGCCGUGAUUGGGUCCGGGGUCCACCCACCUAACCCUGUCCUGGUGUCAGACCUGCAGGAUCGAAUGAAGCUGACGUGGAGGAGCAUGCACCACGCUGAUGUCAAGGGGACCCUCCGAAGGCUGGUUGUCUACGGUUGCUGGGCUGUCCUACCUGCCUUCUCUGUUUGUAACUCAGUCUGAUGGAUUUCAUUAUAGUGAUUAGUCCGCUGAUAUGCACCUCCCAGCACUCAUCACUCAUUGGUCUCACACUCUUCUAUUCCCUCAACAGUACAGAACACAUGAAUUACUCUCAAGCAACUCUGGAAUUCAGGAUGUGUUUGCAGCAGAAAUGGGCAGACAGUGUGGUCACUUCCUCCUGAACCGUGUCCUUGGUCAGCCAGGAACCUACGUGCUGAGCUCACCCUGGCACAUCGGUCUUGCACACCCAUGAUGCGCAGGUGUGGUUCCCGUAAAUGCAGAGCCAUGGCGGUGUGUGGACCGAGGCCAUGUAUCUGGGAGGCUGGACCACGUCAGUCUGAGCGGCCCCCAGCAGACGUUGCCUUCUGUCCUCUAUGUGGGGUUCCUGUUUUGCUCUUAUGUUUUUUGCUGUUGUUGUUAAUAUUACCUGUUAAUCUGGAACCUAAAAUGAAAAAUGGGCUUUACGUGUCAGGAACUCAUGAACUUUAUAUCCAAAUGACCUCU